GGAGAAAGAGAUGAGAGGUAGAGAUUGUCCCACUGGGUGUGCCAAUUUGUGAACACGGAAAAUUCCUGAAACGAAAGAGACAAGAACAACGUGCACAAACAAAUAUUUGUAUUUGAUGAUUUUGGGUUACAAUCUCUCUUAAAUUUGAUCAUCUGAUUCAAUCUCCGUAAGGUGUUGAUUUGUGGAUAUUUCGUUGAUCCAAGGGCCGUCGAGGCUU
rnacentral:lncRNA from 1 species